rnacentral:lncRNA from 1 species
UGUACAUCAGAUUUGGAGACUGCUAAGAGAGUCCUGCUUUGCUGUGUCAAGGACAUCCAUCUCCUCAAACUCCAUUUGUGUGUGAUUCAUAUAAACGGUUUAGGAACCAAUUACAACCCAAUCCUUUUAGGAAAGGCAGGGCGCUCAGCUUACAGAUACUGUGAGAGAGGAGACGAGAGAGAGGGACGACCAGCAUCCUGGACUUGCGCUGACACUGGAAACACCUGGAAGCGGCGUGCAGGAGACAUCCUGGAACUUCCUGAGCAGUGUAAGGCUCCAGAUUGGUGGACAGCACAUCAGGCACAAUGAAAUCAUGUAGAUCAAAGAGGGAUAACUGAAACUCUCCCCGUGUAUGCUUGCCAGUGUUCCCAUUCGCUACAGUCUUUGUGGAAAAUGAACACAGCAGCCACAUCCAGGUGAGCUAGCAUGUGCUCAUUGUGGUUUGUCAGAGCAGUUCGAGA